UGAGUCAAGAGUGGGAAUCUAAAAAUCUGGCUUUGAGGGCGCAGAGCUAGUUCGAUUUACUCGAGUGCGCCUAACCCUCCUCGUAGAUUCCGCUUCCGCCUUCCUUCAUUCUCUUGAUGGGGAUUUAGGCUACAGCACUGGGAAAAUAAUCAUGGGACUGGAUUUCAGGGCCCUGGCCACCUCAGCUCUCCAGGAAUGAAAAGCAUAAUGUUUUCCAUGGUGAUGCUGUGUCUCUACCUCCUCCCUCUGAACCUUGUGAGAGCCACGAACUAGGCUGGAUUUUGGUGUCUGCCCUUCAGAUGAUUGGUGCCAUAAGAGGGCCACAAGCGGGCUUUUUAAUGUCAGCUCCAAAACUCGAAGCGUACAUAUCAGGAGCUUGGAAGAAAAGCCUGGAGAAAGAGUGGAGCACUCUUUUUAAUACGUGAUGCAGAUUACAUCUUCUGAUGCCUCCCAAGGUGCUAUUACAGAGGAUAACAUGGACAUCAACACCUCUGAUUCAGAAAAAUUGAUCUCUGAAUGGUAAGACUUUUAGAAAUGUU